AUGGAUGGCCUUCUCCAUUGGGAUUUCUCCCCCGGCCUUAAGGUCGAGGCACAGGUGCGUGCACGGUUUGGAUCUAUGGUUCACUAUGUCCCCAACCCCGGCCUCAAGGAGUUUUUUCUUGAGCUUUCUUUCUCCUCGGCUUCCUUUCCCCUCUCGGUGGAGUCCGUUGGAUUGGUUCUUCAAUCCUGUAUUGGA
rnacentral:rRNA from 1 species